rnacentral:misc_RNA from 1 species
UUUCCGGUCACCUUGCUCAAGCUUAAAAAUGGCUAUUUGCAUCUUAAUAUAGAGGAUAGGCUCCUCUAUGCGCUGCUCUUUAGUACUCCUUAGUUUCUCAAUUAUCCCUUCGAGAUAACUAAUGGCAGCUUCUUUCUCUGCAUAUUGCCGAGAAACAAUCACAGCAAAAUGUGCAAGCUUGAGAAGAUUGAUUUUAGUCUCAAAAUCAGUGAUGAAGUUGUGAUACAACUGAAUCAGUGCAUCACCAGCCUGGAAGACCGUCAGAGCGACGAAUUGCUCAAGCUUGAGUGUGAGCUGAUGCCAAAG